rnacentral:misc_RNA from 1 species
AAGUCGUAACAAGGUUUCCGUAGGUGAACCUGCGGAAGGAUCAUUAACACUUUAUUUCAAUACAAACCUAGGCGCUCCCUGCUUGGCCACGGCUGAACACCGUUGGUUCGCUUAUUUCGAUAAGCCUCGUGGGGGAAAUAUACGUAUCUGAUUGCGGUGAAGGUUGAUAGGUCGGGCUGAAUUCCAUUCGUGGGAUUGGUCUAUCAGCGUCUGCUCUGGUGUCUCGGCAUAGGAGUGGAGACUUCAUUCUUUCAGAAAUCAGCCCCAACCCGGCUGGCCCUUUUUUUUCACUUGAUUAAUCUACUGAUUCGGGCUUUUCAGAUUGAGAGGAGAAAUCCUUUCUCUGGAGUCCUUAUGGAGAAAUCCAUUAAAUAACAAAACACAACUCUUAACAGCGGAUAUCUCGGUUCUC